ensembl:lncRNA novel transcript
GGAGUGAGGCAAUGCCUCGCCCUGCUUCGGCUCGCGCACGGUGCGCGCACCCACUGGCCUGCGCCCACUGUCUGGCACUCCCUAGUGAGAUGAACCCGGUACCUCAGAUGGAAAUGCAGAAAUCACCCGUCUUCUGCGUCGCUCACGCUGGGAGCUGUAGAGCGGAGCUGUUCCUAUUCGGCCAUCUUGGCUCCUCCGGCUUACAUUCUUAGGGAUUACUUUCCUCACUUUGUUAUAUAUCCUGGAAGCUAUGAACAAUGAUGCUUCUUCAUACUCUUCAACCUCAUCAUGAUACCUUGCACGAAGCAGGAGCUCAACUAAUUUGGGUUGAGGCCAGAAUGCCAAUAGUGAGCAAAAAAGGAUGAUAUUUGACACUUGGCAUUGAAUAUCUGAAUCAUGAUGUCCACAUAACUACAGCUAUGCACCACAUAAUGAUGUUUUACUCAACAACAGACCACAUAUACAAUGGUGGUUUCAUAAGGCUAUAAAGGAGCUGAAAAUUUCUUACCACCUCAUGUCCUCAUGUCAUAGUGCAACAUAUUGCUCUUGUGUUUGCAGUGAUGCUGGCAUAAACAAACCCACUGUGCUUUCAGUUGUAUAAAACUGUAGCCCAUACAAUCAUGUACAGUACAUAAUACUCAAUGAUGAUAAACUAAAUGACUAUGUUACUGGUUUAUGUAUUUACUAUACUAUACUUUCUGUCAUUAUUUUAGAGUGUUCUUCCACUCGUUAAAAAAAAAAAAGUGUACUAUAAGACAGUUUCGGGCAGGUCCCUCAGGUGGUAUUCCAGAAGAACGUAUUAUUAUUAUAGGAGAUGACAGCUCCAUGCAUGCUAAUCCCGCUAAAGAAUUUUCAGUGUGACAAGAUAUGGUGGUGGAAGACAGUGAUAUAGAUGAUGCUGACCCUGUGUAGGCCUAGGGUAAUAUGUCUGUUUGUGUCUCUGUUUUCCACAAAAAAAGUUUAAAAAGUAAAAAGUAAUUAACAGAAAAAAGCUUAUAGAAUAAGAAUAUAGGCCAGGUGUGGUGGCUUAUGCCUGUAAUCCCAGCACUUUGGGAGGCUGAGGCGGGUGGGUCACAAGGUCAAGAGAUUGAGCCCAUCCUGGCCAACAUGAUGAAACCCCAUCUCUACUAAAAAUACAAAAAUUAGCUGGGUGUGGUGGCGCAUGCCUGUAAUCCCAGCUACUCGGGAGGCUGAGGUAGGAGAAUCACUUGAACCCGGGAAGUGGAGGUUGCACUGAGCCAAGACUGUGCCAUUGCACUCCAGCCUGGGCAACAAGAGUGAAACUCUGCCUCAAAAAAAAAAAAAAAAAAAAAGGAAUUAAAAAAAAGAAUAUAAAGAAGAAUAUAAAGAAAGAAAAAAUAUUUGUGUACAGCCGUAUGUGUUUAUGUUUUAAACUGUCAUUACAAAAGUAUCAAAAAGUUUUAAAAAGUGUAUAAAGCAAAAAGUUACAGUAAGCUAAAA